rnacentral:rRNA from 1 species
AGUGAACGCUGGCGGCAGGCCUAACACAUGCCAGUCGAACGGCAGCACAGUAAGAGCUUGCUCUUACGGGUGGCGAGUGGCGGACGGGUGAGGAAUACAUCGGAAUCUACUUUUUCGUGGGGGAUGACGUAGGGAAACUUACGCUAAUACCGCAUACGACCUACGGGUGAAAGCAGGGGAUCUUCGGAUCUUGCGCGAUUGAAUGAGCCGAUGUCGGAUUAGCUAGUUGGCGGGGUAAAGGCCCACCAAGGCGACGAUCCGUAGCUGGUCUGAGAGGAUGAUCAGCCACACUGGAACUGAGACACGGUCCAGACUCCUACGGGAGGCAGCAGUGGGGAAUAUUGGACAAUGGGCGCAAGCCUGAUCCAGCCAUACCGCGUGGGUGAAGAAGGCCUUCGGGUUGUAAAGCCCUUUUGUUGGGAAAGAAAAGCAGCAGGUUAAUACCCCGCUGUUCUGACGGUACCCAAAGAAUAAGCACCGGCUAACUUCGUG